GACGAACGCUGGCGGCGUGCUUAACACAUGCAAGUCGAACGGUAAGGCCCUUCGGGGUACACGAGUGGCGAACGGGUGAGUAACACGUGGGUGAUCUGCCCUGCACUUCGGGAUAAGCCUGGGAAACUAGGUCUAAUACCGGAUAGGACCACUGCCUGCAUGGGUGGUGGUGGGAAGCCUUUGCGGUGUGGGAUGGGCCCGCGGCCUAUCAGCUUGUUGGUGGGGUGAUGGCCUACCAAGGCGACGACGGGUAGCCGGCCUGAGAGGGUGACCGGCCACACUGGGACUGAGAUACGGCCCAGACUCCUACGGGAGGCAGCAGUGGGGAAUAUUGCACAAUGGGCGCAAGCCUGAUGCAGCGACGCCGCGUGAGGGAUGACGGCCUUCGGGUUGUAAGCCUCUUUCAGCACCGACGAAGCGCAAGUGACGGUAGGUGCAGAAGAAGGACCGGCCAACUACGUGCCAGCCGCCGCCGUAACAC
rnacentral:rRNA from 1 species